rnacentral:tRNA from 1 species
GGAUCGCGGUGUGCGGGCACGCGCCCGUCUCCACCGGGCGGAUCCGUUCGGGGUCCAGCACCCCGGCGCUCUU